ensembl:lncRNA
CCCAUCUUCACACGUGCAUCCUGUACUACACAAGAAAAUACUACAUUGUGCUCUGUGGAUGUAAGCGCCCCAGGCCAAUCUUUCUACUAAUUUGCAAAGAUACAGGAAGCCGUGUCCCGCUCUCUCCUCUCCCCUCGCGACUCCCAGAGACUCCAGUGAGACGGGGAAUCGGACACAUGAAAGGAGCUGGAGCUGUGAAGAAAGGAAUAUAAACACAAAGCACGGAAGCCUUUGGGUCCAGUAUCUCCUCUGGAAGCACAGACCUCAGCUGGAACAAUGGCUGGGGUUUAAGAAGUGUUCUCUUAUGUAACACGUUCACGUCUGACUGUGGCCUGC